CAGCCGCCGCGGUAAAACGAAGGGUGCAAGCGUUAAUCGGAAUUACUGGGCGUAAAGCGUGCGUAGGCGGUUUGUUAAGUCUGCUGUGAAAUCCCCGGGCUCAACCUGGGAAUGGCAGUGGAUACUGGCAAGCUAGAGUGUGUCAGAGGAUGGUGGAAUUCCCGGUGUAGCGGUGAAAUGCGUAGAGAUCGGGAGGAACAUCAGUGGCGAAGGCGGCCAUCUGGGACAACACUGACGCUGAGGCACGAAAGCGUGGGGAGCAAACAGGAUUAGAUACCCCAGUAGUCCCUGUCUCUUAUAC
rnacentral:rRNA from 1 species